rnacentral:rRNA from 1 species
UGCCAGCAGCCGCGGUAACACGAACCGGACAAACGUUAUUCGGAAUCACUGGGCUUAAAGAGUGCGUAGGCGGCCUGGCAGGUUGGGUGUGAAAGCCCUCGGCUCAACCGAGGAAUUGCGCUCAAAACCGUCAGGCUUGAGGGAGAUAGAGGAGAGCGGAACUGAUGGUGGAGCGGUGAAAUGCGUUGAUAUCAUCAGGAACACCGGUGGCGAAAGCGGCUCUCUGGGUCUCUUCUGACGCUGAGGCACGAAAGCUAGGGGAGCGAACGGGAUUAGAUA